UUACAAAUCACUUGGAGAACCUUGUUAGAAUCCAGAUCCUGAGACAGUAGUUCUGAGGCCCAAGGUUCUGCAUUUCUAACAAGUUUUCAGGUGAUAUGGAU
rnacentral:pre_miRNA from 1 species